AACGAACGCUGGCGGCAGGCCUAACACAUGCAAGUCGAACGCCCCGCAAGGGAAGUGGUCGAGACGGGUGAGUAACGCGUGGGAACGGUACCCUUCGGUUCGGAAUAACCCGGGGAAACUCGGGCUAAUACCGGAUACGUCCGCAAGGGAGAAAGAUUUAUCGCCGAAGGAUCGGCCCGCGUCGGAUUAGCUAGUUGGUGGGG
rnacentral:rRNA from 1 species